rnacentral:rRNA from 1 species
ACGGGGGGUGCAAGCGUUGUUCGGAAUUAUUGGGCGUAAAGAGCGUGCAGGCGGCCGAUUAAGUCAGAUGUGAAAUCCCCGGGCUCAACCUAGGAAGUGCAUUGGAAACUAUUCGGCUUGAAUAGGGGAGAGGGUAGUGGAAUUCCUAGUGUAGGGGUGAAAUCCGUAGAUAUCAGGAGGAACACCGGUGGCGAAGGCGGCCAUCUGGACCUAUAUUGACGCUGAGACGCGAGAGCGUGGGGAGCAAACAG